rnacentral:lncRNA from 1 species
UGGGACUGUGCAGCUGGCCCAAGGCUACCCAGGCGGGCUCUUCUUCUUUGAGGCUCAGUGGGGGAAUUGAACUCCCAAACGCUGGCUAUGCAGCCAGAUACCUAAACUACGGAGCUAGCCUUACCAUGAAAUAAGAGUUUUAUCAGAACAGUUUUUCUUUCUUUGGAAGGAGCAGAUUAUAUGAAUACUUUGUUGGUUUCUAUUCUUGUUCACCUGCCUUUUCAUUCAUCCACUUCAGGCUUUGUCUUGCAUCCUUUACAUAAUCCCAUCUUUCUUUGUUCCUUUCCCUUUCUCGCAGCUUUUUCGGAUGGACAUGGAAAGGGACACUUGUAUUCUUGGAGCACAGAACAUGCCAUCGGAUAAAACAUGGUUGGAGAAUUCCAUCCGGGUCAUGCAGGAAGAGGAUGGAGGGGUCACCUCCCUGGGAGGAGGACCAAGGACAUCGGCCAUGUGGGCCAGCUUGGCUCCUCCCGUGGAUACCCAGGAAGCGGCUUCUGCACAGCGGUAUCAGGUAGGGGAAUCAUCCGGGGAAACCAUGCUGGGGUAAGGGCCGGGGGGGGUUAUCUUUUGUCCACCGGCCCCCUCACUUGGCUGGAGAGUGGCCUCUCUCUUUCCCUUGUUCAAGCUACCCACUAGGAAGUCCGGGAAGGCCCCCUUUGGAGCCUUGCCUCUCCUCCAUUUGGAUCUCCACGGGCGUCCCUCUGGAGCGCUGUCCCUGGGAGCGUCGGCUGAAGUGAGGAAGAACCAGCCCUGCUCUGAGAUCAGGAGGACCUAUGGUUGAAGGUUUUUCGGGCUGUUUGGCUGUGUUCCGGAGGUUUUUCUUCGUAACGUUUCGCCAGUCUCUGUGGCCGGCAUAUUCAGAGGACAGGAGUUAGAACUCUGUGUUCUGGUGUUGUGUAUGGGAUAGUUAAGUAUUUGUACCUGUGGGAUCUGCUUUUUGUCCUUUUCAGGAGAUUGGGUGAUUAUGGUGAUCAGGGUGGGUUUUUGGGGGGAUGUAUUGUUGUGACAAGGGGGAGAUGAUCUGUCACUGUGAUUGAUGGGUGUCGUUAGCUAGUCAGUUGUGUGCAGUGAUCACCCGUCCUUUGCUCCUUUCAGGUGACCUUUGAGGAGGUGGCUGUGUAUUUCUCCGAGGAGGAGUGGGCGCUGCUGGAUGCGGACCAAAGGGCCCUGCACCAGGAAGUCAUGGAGCAGAAUUAUGGGAUGGUGGCCUCUCUUGGUAAGAAUCCCUUUUCCUCUAGCUUUAUAAAACCAACCAGGUAGAACACGGAGCUGCAAAUAAAUGCUGUUUAUUUCUGCA